GAGAACGACUUCACGCCCGCGUUCUCACAGACGUUCUACGUCGUCUACGUGACGGAGGCGUCACCUGUCGGCACGCUGGUGACGCGCGUCUCCGCAGACGACGCGGACAGGACGGAGCAUAACAGCAGGGUGGAGUAUAGGAUCACAGGUUACGGCCACGCCCCUGACUACUUCUACAUGCUCAGCGAUGGCGCCAUCGUCACCAAGGACUCGCUGCUCAAUGACAGAAGUGCUGGCACGUACACUGUUGGCGUCGAAGCCUUCAACCCGAGUCAGCCCGACCGCAGUGGCGCCACCAACGUAACCGUGGUGAUCCAGAGAAACACGUCCGUGCCUACAGCGCCACCUACGUCAGAGAAGGGCUUCGAUUUUGGUUUCGGUCGCGACCUC